rnacentral:rRNA from 1 species
GGGAAUCUUCCGCAAUGGACGAAAGUCUGACGGAGCAACGCCGCGUGAGUGAUGAAGGUCUUCGGAUUGUAAAGCUCUGUUAAUCGGGACGACAGAGUUCUGUGUGAAUAAUGCAGAAAAGUGACGGUACCGGAAUAGAAAGCCACGGCUAACUACGUGCCAGCAGCCGCGGUAAUACGUAGGUGGCAAGCGUUGUCCGGAAUUAUUGGGCGUAAAGUGCGCGCAGGCGGCCUAUCCAGUCUGUCUUAAAAGUUCGGGGCUCAACCCCGUGAUGGGAUGGAAACUAGUAGGCUAGAGUAUCGGAGAGGAAAGCGGAAUUCCUAGUGUAGCGGUGAAAUGCGUAGAUAUUAGGAAGAACACCAGUGGCGAAGGCGGCUUUCUGGACGAAAACUGACGCUGAGGCGCGAAAGCCAGGGGAGCGAACGG